CCAUUCGUAGCUCAGCUGGUAGAGCACCAGACUCUUAAUCUGAUGGUCGAAGGUUCGAGUCCUUCCGGGUGGACAA
rnacentral:tRNA from 1 species